GACGAACGCUGGCGGCGUGCCUAAUACAUGCAAGUAGAACGCUGAAGGAGGAGCUUGCUUCUCUGGAUGAGUUGCGAACGGGUGAGUAACGCGUAGGUAACCUGCCUGGUAGCGGGGGAUAACUAUUGGAAACGAUAGCUAAUACCGCAUAAUAGCAGUUGUUGCAUGACAACUGUUUGAAAGGUGCAAAUGCAUCACUACCAGAUGGACCUGCGUUGUAUUAGCUAGUUGGUGGGGUAAAGGCUCACCAAGGCGACGAUACAUAGCCGACCUGAGAGGGUGAUCGGCCACACUGGGACUGAGACACGGCCCAGACUCCUACGGGAGGCAGCAGUAGGGAAUCUUCGGCAAUGGACGGAAGUCUGACCGAGCAACGCCGCGUGAGUGAAGAAGGUUUUCGGAUCGUAAAGCUCUGUUGUAAGAGAAGAACGAGUGUGAGAGUGGAAAGUUCACACUGUGACGGUAUCUGACCAGAAAGGGACGGCUAACUACGUG
rnacentral:rRNA from 1 species